rnacentral:sRNA from 1 species
GAGCCGGAGCCCAGUGACAGGCGACGGCCUCUUGCCGCCCCGGACCCCGGGCGCUUACCUGUGGCUGCUGGGGUCGGCCGCCCGGGACCAGGCUGGGAGCCCCGAGGGUUCCCUUCUGGAGAAGAGUCACCGGGUUUGGUUCUGUUUCCCCUUUCUGCUCGACACUUCUGGGAAGCUUGGUUCUCAGAAACGCUUCGUUAAGGGACUCAGGCAGUACGGGAAGAACUUCUUCAGAAUUAGAAAGGAGCUGCUUCCCAAUAAGGAAACAGGGGAGCUGAUCACCUUCUAUUACUAUUGGAAGAAGACCCCCGAAGCAGCCAGCUCCCGAGCCCAUCGUAGGCACCGCAGGCAGGCCGUGUUCAGGAGG